GGGUCCCCUAGGGCCUCUUCCCUCCUUCCAACUCCUUGCAUCCCCUGGCAGGUUUGCAGAGCUAAAACCCAAGGGCCUGCUGGACCGAACAGGGCUUUGGAGGAGUCUGAGGGAGAUGAAAAGGAUGUUCAACUUCGGAGUUCUCUAGCAAGCAGUGAGGAGCUUGGGCUAGGACUCCUGACCUCUUCCCUUGGCCAUCAGUUUCCAUGGUUAUCUGGAGUCUCGGAAAAUUAAGUACCAAUUCAUUGUGUGACUCUGGGCAGGCCCCUCUGCCCUCCUAGACUUUACAUUCCCUACAGAGACAUAAGAGGAUGUGUACUGGGGUGAUCCCUGAUCCUAAUCCAAAAGACAUUUCUUGAGCUAUUUCAUCAGGCACUGGAUUGGGGCUGUGAACACUGCUUGAGUUCACAGGGCCCACAGUAAAGUAGGCCAGAGGUUAUUAAUUAGACUCAAAAUUGUGUCAUUAGUGUCACUUGCAGGACAUGUUCAUUGGCUGCAGGAGUGUGUAAAAGGGGGACCCACCUUUCCUGGAAAGCUCUCUCAGAAGGUUGAAUAGGCAUUAAUAGUGCCAAGAUGGGACAUGGGGCAGCAAGCAUUUCAGGCUCAGAGGACAGCAAAGACAAAGGCCCUAAAAAUGGAUGGAUCAGAUACCUUUGGGGGAGAGAAUGUUACUGUGACCAGAGCAAAUUGAGCAGGGGAAGGAAGGUCAGAGAGGAAUCAGGAGAGGUGCCCAGGGCCCAGUGGUGCAGGACCAUGUGGGCCACGGCAGGAGUGGACUUUUCCUGAGUGCAAUGCCAGGCUAUGUCCUGGUGGCCAGGCGGGGAAUAAUAUGGGCAAAUGUGCCCUGUGGGGCAGGUAAAAGGCAAGAGUGGAAACAGGAGGUGGUGGCCUCAGCAAGGCAGUGGCCAUAGGGAUGUAGUCACAGGUGAACCAAGAGGCCAGUAGGGUGGAGAAUUAAUGGGACUUGAUAGGGGGAGGAGGGGCUGCCCAGGUAGGUCCCAGGUGGGUGGAGUUGCCAUUCCCCAGGACGCCAGCGAGUGGGAGGGGCCUGAGCUGGAGAAAACGCACAUUUGAUUUUUGAUAUGCUGCGUUUGAGUUGGGCAAGUUAUCCAGGGAAAUGUCAGAUAGAUGGUGGAACAGUAGGCUGGGGACUAAUUUGCUGUCGAGAGAGGGCAGUGACUGAAGCUGAGCAGCCGGGGAGGUCACACCAAGAAAGACACAGGAUGCCCAGGAUGGGCUCAGAAGGGAACUCCACCAUGAAAGUGAGGAGGAGAUCUGUUGGAGCUGAGGUGACUGGUUCCCAUGUUCUCCCACCCCCUGCAGAAUACAUAUUUAAACACUGGCAGGAGGACUCCUUCUUUGUCUCCCAGUUCCUAAAUGGCUUCAACCCUGUUCUCAUCUGCCACUGUUGCUCGCUCCCAAACAACUUCCCUGUCACUGAUGCCAGUCCUGGGCCCUGGGACCAGUCUGCAAGCUGAGCUGGAGGUGGGGCUGUGGGGUUCAGGCUCUGCACAGUCUUAUCUUGGUGUUGUCAGGGUCACACCCUACUGGAGAGGGAGGGUGCACUCACAUUGUUAGGGAGCAGUGUAAUGCAUAACACAAACACCAUCUUCUAAAACAAAAUCUUCUCCCAGCGCUGAAUCCUCUCCCUGCUACCAGCCCUUCAUCCUUUAGGAAAGCCAUGUGGCAGCUCCAGCUCUCCUACUCUCUCCCACAGAGGGGCUUCCUGUUCUUGGUGGAUCCUGGCAUCCAGACCAAUGUCAUCAAUGGGAGGGCUCAGUUUUCAGCAGCCCCAGUGACCCUGCUAUACCAGCACCCAGGAGGUGGACCUUUGCUGCCCCUCGCCAUCCAAGUCUGCCACUGGCUAGAGGGCAGGGCAGGGGUGAGGAAGGUCCCACUGAAUGAUUUGCAGACACUCACAGCUGCCUCUUCCCUCACUGGUUCCCCCCAUCCCAGCUCAGCCAGACCUCUGGAACCAACAGGCCCAUCUUCCUGCUCAGUGAUGAGAAGUGGGACUGGCUGCUGGCAAAGACCUGGGUGCGCAAUGCUGAGUUCUCCAUGCAUGAGACCCUCACACACCUGCUGCAUGCACACCUGCUCCCCAAGGUCUUCUCAUGGCCACACUGCACCAGCUGCCCCACUCCCACCAGCUCUGCAAGGAGGCCCCUGGGCAUGUACCUAGAUGAGCACUUCACAGAGGAGCCCCCACAGCAGAGCAUCAUCACCUUCCAGAGCUGCCUGGCCCAGAUCUCCAGGGACAUCAGGGAAUGGAACCAGGACCUGGCACUGCCCAACACUUACCUGGACCCCCUCUCUGAUUGAGAACAGCAUCUCCAUCUAAAUCCUCAGAGAAUACAUCCCUGUAUGACAUAGGCCUCUGUGACCACUUCACUUUAGACUAAUUGGCAUCCAGAGAAAAGGACCCCUCAGAAAAACCGGUCCCCAUGUGCCUCUUAUGGGGGCCCCCUCUAAUGGAUGCCCCCUUGUAACUCAUCCCAGUGUCCACACACAUGUGCAUGCACACAUACACUGUUGUGCCCAGAUCACGGAAACCCCAAAGACCACCAAGGAGCCGAUUCCGAUGCAAGCACACGAGGGUCGUUUAUUCAAGCUCGAGCAGGGACUCUCAACUGUCACCGAAGCAGCGGGUCAAGAUUGAGAGUCCCGAAUUUUAAAUCAGCAGGGUUUUUAUUGUGUUUACAGCAAGGUUUGGGGAUUUUCCACUUAGCAGUUACAUGAUUGGUUGACAUUUAGCAAG
rnacentral:lncRNA from 1 species